CUUCAUCCUCCCACAGGCUGGGAGUAUGAGUCACAAUGCCUGACACAUGUCUAUGUAUUAUGUGUCUGCAUGUAUGUACAUGUGAGUGCAGGUACAUGCUGAGGCCACACCUACUGAGUCUCCCUGGAGCUGGAUUAUAGGAGGUUAUGAGCUGACUGAUACCUUCUACAAAAAGCAUGGGCUCUACCACUGAACAUAAGCCCAGCUCCUGGGGCUGGAGUAACAAGCAGGUGUGAAUUAGUUGCUGCAGGUGCUCUGGGAUCUCUGUAAAGGCCAUGCAUGCUCUAACCACUGAAUCAUCUCUCCACCAUCCCAUGUCUACUUUAAAAAUAUUUCUAGAGAUGAAAGUAAUAUCUCUCACUUUCUGAGCAGAUUCUUUGUACCUGAAUAAUCUUUUACAAGACUACUUGAUCCAGGAUGGUGCAUGUACAGGUUUCCAUCUUAUUUCAGCUGCUGACUUGUUUAUAUGGGACUGACAGAGGAUAAGACAUCAAGAACUCUGCUGAUUAAGGCCAGUAAGAAAGCUCAGCCUGUAGACCCUUGAUGUGCAAGCAUGGCAAACUGUGUUGGAGUUCCAGAACCAAAUGAACUCUGCAAGAACUGUCCUUUUACCUCUACAUGUGCCCUGUGGUAUGUUCUCGCACAUAUGACACAUACGUGCUAAAUAAAAAUGUGAAAAUUAUCAAA